CCUACGGGUGGCAGCAGUGAGGAAUAUUGGUCAAUGGGCGGGAGCCUGAACCAGCCAAGCCGCGUGAGGGAAGAAGGUACAGCGUAUCGUAAACUUCUUUUGUCAGGGAACAAAGGCGGGGACUAGUCCCCGGAUGAGGGUACCUGAAGAAAAAGCAUCGGCUAACUCCGUGCCAGCCGCCGCGGGAAUACGGGGGAUGCGAGCGUUAUCCGGAUUUAUUGGGUUAAACGGGAGCGCAGGCGGCCUGUUAAGUCAGCGGUAAAAGCCCGGGGCUCAACCCCGCCGAGCCGUUGAAACUGGCGGGCUGGAGGUGGAGAGAAGUACGCGGAAUGCGAGGUGUAGCGGUGAAAUGCUUAGAUAUCGCGCAGAACCCCGAUUGCGAAGGCAGCUUACUAAACUGUGACUGACAUUGAUGCUCGAAAGUGUGGGUAUCAAACAGGAUUAGAUACCCUAGUAGUC
rnacentral:rRNA from 1 species